GUUAAAAUUAAUAUUGUGUUGGAAUAUAUUGUUUAAAAUAAUAUCAAAAAUAAUACAACAAAGUUUAGUUAAUUUUUAUAAGUUAUCUUUAUUAUUCUUUGUUAUUACAUAAUUAUGCUAAUUAUAUGGUGUUUAAAAGGAGGACUGAAAGGAGGCAUCUUUGUCUUGCCUGUCAUUUUGAACUGGAACAUGAUCUGUGGUUAUCAUCUUGUUGUUGCCAUCGCCUUUGUCCUGUUGCCACUGUCUUGUUGUUGCCAUCAUCCUGGAACUGUCAACUGUUGUUGUGUAUAGUGGUGAACCUUUUUAUUAUGUUGAAAGUCGUUAUUGCACUUGGACUGCGGGUAGCAGAAAAAUUACAGAUUGUUAGUAAUACGUCAUUAAAAGUGCAGAUUGUGAAUUAUUGUUUGUUGUUUUACAGUUCCAGAAA
rnacentral:lncRNA from 1 species